GACGUAGGGUGCAAGCGUUGUCCGGAAUUAUUGGGCGUAAAGAGCUUGUAGGCGGUUUGUCGCGUCUGCCGUGAAAAUCCGGGGCUCAACCCCGGACUUGCGGUGGGUACGGGCAGACUAGAGUGUGGUAGGGGAGACUGGAAUUCCUGGUGUAGUGGUGAAAUGCGUAGAUAUCGGGAGGAACACCAGUGGCGAAGGCGACUACCUGGCCUGUUUCUUGACGCUGAGGCGCGAAAGCUAGGGGAGCAAACGGG
rnacentral:rRNA from 1 species